UAUGAGAUAUUACUUCCUCCAAAUAUUAGAAACCCUAUACAUUUAUACUUCAUUUUCUUGUACACAAGCAAAGUCUAAUUUUGCUGCCGUAUGCCAAAAAGGAAAAUAAAGAAAUUGUAGGAUAUGGAAUCAGACACAAUCUUAGUUGGUCUCUCUUGUUCCCUGCUUUUGUUCUCAGGAUUGACGUAUAGGAACUGGAAUUGAAUAUACAGUCGACGUAAAAGCUAACUUUUACUAUUACUUUGCCAGCUACUUAGUUCUGACAACUUCAGGCCAUUGUUCACUUCAUGAGUGCCUUAUUUGUGGGUGGAUAUUAGGAUUGAGCAUAGGUCACAAAAGACAUGUCCCUUAUAUACACGCUGAUGGAUCAUAACGAGUACAAAUGGGGUAACUAUCUCCUGAAUUUUUUUAUUAUUAUUUUUGUACCUUCUUACCUAUGUGAGCUUAUUUAAUGAUCGAAAAACAUGUUGCUCUAUGAGUCACUUGUUGUGAUUAUUUAAAAAAAAUACUUAAUUAUAAUUUUUAAAUUAUAGAAUAUAUUUUCCACCCAAUGAGCAAGAGAAUAUUAGUUUGAGAUGUCAAUUCCAAUAUUUUAUUCUUGAUAUCCUU